UACGUAGGGGGGCUAGCGUUGUCCGGAUUUAUUGGGCGUAAAGAGCGUGUAGGCGGCCAGGUAGGUCUGGUGUGAAAACUCGAGGCUUAACCUCGAGAUGUCAUCGGAAACCAUCUGGCUAGAGUCCGGAAGAGGAGAGUGGAAUUCCUGGUGUAGCGGUGAAAUGCGCAGAUAUCAGGAGGAACACCGAUGGCGAAGGCAGGUCUCUGGGCCACUACUGACGCUGAGAAGCGAAAGCAUGGGGAGCGAACGGG
rnacentral:rRNA from 1 species